AUGCGGAUGAAGUUGAAAGCAGCCUAUAUGUUGAUAGAACAAUUGUAUACUGGUGCUCAACGAGUCAUCUGUGCGGCCUUCUUCAACAAACCGAGACCAACCUUGAUCAAGGAUACAUUGGCCAAAUUAUCUAUGACCCCGGCCCAGAUGGAAGAGGUAAAGCGGUCUGCCGCCAGAGCUGGCGCUUUAACAGCCCUGACUCGGGCCAAAGCUUGGAUUGCUGAUCUUGAUCCGGCAGACAUCGCAAAGGGCUAUCCAGGUCAACAAGAAGAUGGAUCAGAGUUUGAUAAUGAAGCCCUCAAAGCCCUGACAAAAGAGAUGCGCCCACUGGCAAGCCAAUUGGCUGAAGAGGUUGACUUGUCUAUCUAUCGGUCCAGCUAUGAUGCAGACAACAAGCAGGUUGACGCAGCUGUGAAAGAAGCACAAAAUCUUAUCCCUCCAAUCCGUAAGCACACCUAUGCCCCUGACGUUGAACCGUCCAAUCUUAUAAGCAAUGAAGCUAUCUUCCAAGCCUUAACCAGGAUUGAUUGGACCACCCUUGACUUCCAGCCACUGGGUGAGGAGGAGGAAGUUGAACCGACGCAAGAUGAUCCUUCAACUUCACAUCAGCCUGGUGACGAAUCAUAA
rnacentral:rRNA from 1 species